UGUGUAGGCGGUUCUUUAAGUUUGGUGUGAAAUCUCCCGGCUCAACCGGGAGGGUGCGCCGAAUACUGAGGGACUCGAGUGCGGGAGAGGAAAGUGGAAUUCCUGGUGUAGCGGUGAAAUGCGUAGAUAUCAGGAGGAACACCGGUGGUGUAGACGGCUUUCUGGACCGUAACUGACGCUGAGACACGAAAGACGUGGGUAGGCAAAACA
rnacentral:rRNA from 1 species